rnacentral:rRNA from 1 species
UGCAAGUCGAACGAACCUUCGGGUUAGUGGCGGACGGGUGAGUAACGCGUGAGAAUCUGCCCUCAGGAGGGGGACAACAGUUGGAAACGACUGCUAAUACCCCAUAUGCCGUGAGGUGAAAUGAAUUUCGCCUGAGGAUGAGCUCGCGUCUGAUUAGCUAGUUGGUGUAGGUAAUGGCUCACCAAGGCAUCGAUCAGUAGCUGGUCUGAGAGGAUGAUCAGCCACACUGGGACUGAGACACGGCCCAGACUCCUACGGGAGGCAGCAGUGGGGAAUUUUCCGCAAUGGGCGAAAGCCUGACGGAGCAACGCCGCGUGAGGGAUGAAGGCCUCUGGGCUGUAAACCUCUUUUAUCAAGGAAGAAGAUCUGACGGUACUUGAUGAAUAAGCCACGGCUAAUUCCGUGCCAGCAGCCGCGGUAAUACGGGAGUGGCAAGCGUUAUCCGGAAUUAUUGGGCGUAAAGCGUCCGCAGGCGGCCCUUCAAGUCUGCUGUUAAAAAGUGGAGCUUAACUCCAUCAUGGCAGUGGAAACUGUUGGGCUUGAGUGUGGUAGGGGCAGAGGGAAUUCCCGGUGUAGCGGUGAAAUGCGUAGAUAUCGGGAAGAACACCAGUGGCGAAGGCGCUCUGCUGGGCCAUCACUGACGCUCAUGGACGAAAGCCAGGGGAGCGAAAGGGAUUAGAUACCCCUGUAGUCCUGGCCGUAAACGAUGAACACUAGGUGUCGGGGGAAUCGACCCCCUCGGUGUCGUAGCCAACGCGUUAAGUGUUCCGCCUGGGGAGUACGCACGCAAGUGUGAACUCAAAGGAAUUGACGGGGCCCGCACAAGCGGUGGAGUAUGUGUUUAAUUCGAUGCAACGCGAGAACUUUACCAGGUUUGACAUCCUUCGAAUCUCUUGAAACAGGAGAGUGCCUUCGGGAACGCAGUGACAGGUGGUGCAUGCCUGUCGUCAGCCUCGUGUCGUGAGAUGUGGGUAAGUCCCGCAACGAGCCGCAACCUACGUCUUUAGUGCCAGCAUUUAGUUGGGCACUCUAGAGAGAACUGCCGUGACAACCGAGAGUGGGAUGACGUCAGGUCAUCAUGCCCUACAUCCUGCUACACGUUACUACAUGCUACGGCAGGCAGCAGUCGAAGAACAGCAAUCCUAACCGUGUCCAGUUCAUCGAGCUGCCACUCGCCUACUGGAGGGGGAAUGCUAGUAAUCCCGAGCUCCACAUACUGUGAU